GGGCUAUCUGCAGUCGAGCGGACAGAAGGGAGCUUGCUCCCGGAUGUUAGCGGCGGACGGGUGAGUAACACGUGGGUAACCUGCCUGUAAGACUGGGAUAACUCCGGGAAACCGGAGCUAAUACCGGAUAGUUCCUUGAACCGCAUGGUUCAAGGAUGAAAGACGGUUUCGGCUGUCACUUACAGAUGGACCCGCGGCGCAUUAGCUAGUUGGUGAGGUAACGGCUCACCAAGGCGACGAUGCGUAGCCGACCUGAGAGGGUGAUCGGCCACACUGGGACUGAGACACGGCCCAGACUCCUACGGGAGGCAGCAGUAGGGAAUCUUCCGCAAUGGACGAAAGUCUGACGGAGCAACGCCGCGUGAGUGAUGAAGGUUUUCGGAUCGUAAAGCUCUGUUGUUAGGGAAGAACAAGUGCAAGAGUAACUGCUUGCACCUUGACGGUACCUAACCAGAAAGCCACGGCUAACUACGUGCCAGCAGCCGCGGUAAUACGUAGGUGGCAAGCGUUGUCCGGAAUUAUUGGGCGUAAAGGGCUCGCAGGCGGUUUCUUAAGUCUGAUGUGAAAGCCCCCGGCUCAACCGGGGAGGGUCAUUGGAAACUGGGAAACUUGAGUGCAGAAGAGGAGAGUGGAAUUCCACGUGUAGCGGUGAAAUGCGUAGAGAUGUGGAGGAACACCAGUGGCGAAGGCGACUCUCUGGUCUGUAACUGACGCUGAGGAGCGAAAGCGUGGGGAGCGAACAGGAUUAGAUACCCUGGUAGUCCACGCCGUAAACGAUGAGUGCUAAGUGUUAGGGGGUUUCCGCCCCUUAGUGCUGCAGCUAACGCAUUAAGCACUCCGCCUGGGGAGUACGGUCGCAAGACUGAAACUCAAAGGAAUUGACAGGGGCCCGCACAAGCGGUGGAGCAUGUGGUUUAAUUCGAAGCAACGCGAGAACCUUACCAGGUCUUGACAUCCUCUGACAACCCUAGAGAUAGGGCUUUCCCUUCGGGGAC
rnacentral:rRNA from 1 species